rnacentral:rRNA from 1 species
AGCAGCCGCGGUAAUUCCAACUCCAAUAGCGUAUAUUAAAGUUGUUGCAGUUAAAAAGCUCGUAGUUGAAUUUCGGGGUCAGUAGGCUGAUCAUGCCACAGGUAUGUACUGGUCUCACUGAUUCCUCCUUCCUGAUGAACCGUAAUGCCAUUAAUUUGGUGUUGCGGGGAAACUGGACUGUUACUUUGAAAAAAUUAGAGUGUUUAAAGCAGGCUAACGCUUGAAUACAUUAGCAUGGAAUAAUGAAAUUGGACGUUCGAUCCUAUUUUGUUGGUUUCUAGGAUUGACGUAAUGAUUAAUAGGGGUAGUUGGGGGCAUUAGUAUUCAAUUGUCAGAGGUGAAAUUCUUGGAUUUAUUGAAGACUAACUACUGCGAAAGCAUUUGCCAAGGAUGUUUUCAUUAAUCAAGAACGAAAGUUAGGGGAUCGAAGACGAUCAGAUACCGUCGUAGUCUUAACCAUAAACAAUGCCGACUAGGGAUCGGAUGAUGUUAAUUUUUUAAUGACUCAUUCGGCGCCUUA